rnacentral:rRNA from 1 species
AUUGAACGCUGGCGGCAGGCCUAACACAUGCAAGUCGAACGGUAACAGGAAGACGCUUGCUUCUUUGCUGACGAGUGGCGGACGGGUGAGUAAUGUCUGGGAAACUGCCUGAUGGAGGGGGAUAACUACUGGAAACGGUAGCUAAUACCGCAUAACGUCGCCAGACCAAAGAGGGGGACCUUCGGGCCUCUUGCCAUCGGAUGUGCCCAGAUGGGAUUAGCUAGUAGGUGGGGUAACGGCUCACCUAGGCGACGAUCCCUAGCUGGUCUGAGAGGAUGACCAGCGACACUGGAACUGAGACACGGUCCAGACGCCUACGGGAGGCAGCAGUGGGGAAUAUUGCACAAUGGGCGCAAGCCUGAUGCAGCCAUGCCGCGUGUAUGAAGAAGGCCUUCGGGUUGUAAAGUACUUUCAGCGGGGAGGAAGGGAGUAAAGUUAAUACCUUUGCUCAUUGACGUUACCCGCAGAAGAAGCACCGGCCAACUCCGUG